rnacentral:tRNA from 1 species
CCAUUUUAUGAUACUAUACAUACAAGAUGUGUUGGGGGUACAAAAAGAAUCCUUUUCUUGGCAUCCGUA